AGAUCCAAGUCCUAAACCCUGAAGUUCUGAUUGGCCCUCAAUGGAAACUGUUUGAGAAGAUGCUCAGCAAUAUUAUUAGCUUCACCUACCUGUGCUCCACAUGAUGCAGGAUGCAGAUAUUUCUUAGGAUGACUUUUAGACAACUUGUCAUCUGGAAGGUUUCACACUAUAAGGCUGGACCUUGGUCCUAGCAACUGCAGAGUGAUUCUUGUUAAAGCUUUCACUUCCAACUGUUGCAAGGCCAAUAAUGUUGCUGGUGGCCAAUGAAGAUGCAGUUGCGGGAGGGGUGAAGCAUAGUUUGAUCUGAAGUACAAUGACAUUUGAUGAACAAGGCAAGCAUAGAGAAGUCUCCCAAGGAAAAGAAGACCUGCUUAUUUCAUUUUUAGUCUUUUGUUCAGCAAUUGUGCCCUUUUUAAUUUGUUGUAUAGUUAAGUGGUUUUGACUCUGGAAAUUAGAGCACCAUUAUAGUAGUCUAAGGAAGGAGAAAAGCUAUGAAUAUCAGUCUGACAGCUGCUUGAAUUGGCUCAGCAUAUUUAUCCCCUGUCCGGAACAUGAGGUAAGAUCUCUAACACCCACGAAUCCCUUGUCAGUGGGCUUGAUUUUACUCAUAUAUUUUUUUUUCUUUCUGCUGAACUGCUUUCACAACUGAUUUAGAAAGAGAAUACACCACUAGGCUUAGCAAACAGUAGGUUUAUAUUGGUUAUCGUUUACUAUAUAUGGACUGAUAAUUUAAUUUGUAUGUACUCAGUAGCCUUUAGCUCAAUGUGUGCUUGGUUGUAACAUUAAAACGGUAAUAGUGAGCUAAUAGAUAUUAUUCUAUUUUUUUUGA